rnacentral:lncRNA from 1 species
GUGUGUGAAGCACUGUUUUAUAUGCUCUAUUUAAUUGGAUCUCCCCCACAAUCCCAUGAAGUAGAUCCUGUCAUUAGCCCUCUUCACAAGUGAGACACAAAGAAAGGUAAAAUGAUUUACCCAAACUCACAGGGAACGUCAGACUUUGGAUCCAGGAGGUGUGACACCACAGCUCACGCGGCAAGUGUUAGGCUGUACCACAGCUGAUUUUUUUUAAAUUUUUAUUUUAUUAUUUUAUUUUAUUUAUGAUAGGCACACAGUGAGAGAGAGAGAGAAGCAGAGACAUAGGCAGAGGGAGAAGCAGGCUCCGUGCACCGGGAGCCCGAUGUGGGAUUCGAUCCUGGGUCUCCAGGAUCGUGCCCUGGGCCAAAGGCAGGCGCCAAACCGCAGGGAUCCCCUGUACCACAGCUGAUUGACGUAACAUCAUUACCUACAACCAGAGCACACUUCCUUUCCCUUCGUGGGGCACUCGAAUGCGGCCUUCUGGAAAAACCUGCUCAAGUCCUCCUGGCGAUACUAAGCAAAUUCAUCAGUCCCUCCCUCUUGCUGGUUUUCACCUCUGGAAGAGGGAAUGGCUGGUGCUGCCUGCGGGACCCCACUGUGGCCUCCAGAGGCGCAGUCGAGCAUACUUUAUUUUUCCAUUAAUAUUCUGUUAUUAUUCAGAGUAAUAGGAAGAAGAGCAUUGGAGCCAUGGGUGGCACCGCCAAGGGUGGAGACAGAUGGGGCAAAGGAGAGCAACAAAGGACCGGAAUAGAAGCGAUGAUAAGAGCUGCUGUCCUAUUUUGGAAAAGAGAGAGCUGGACACAGAAGGCAUUCUCAGGGUGCCCGGAUCCCAGGCCAGGGUCAAGGUAAUGGUGUGGUUUCCCCCACAUCUUCGAGGCUGCAUCUCCCGAGUUAAGCCAGGGGAGAACCCAGUUCCCAGAUUGUCCGUGUUCUGUCUUGGGUCCUGUUUGGGUCAGGGAGUUCCAGGAGGGUUGAAGGCAGGGAGGCGACACAGUAUGGCGCAGGGGUGGAGCUGCGGGCCUGGAGUCAGCCUGCCAACAUUUAUUGGGUGAAACCC